rnacentral:tRNA from 1 species
UGUGGCUCAGUGGUAGAGCACUUGCUUAGCACCUAUGUGUGAGGCCCUGGGUUCGAUCCCCAGCA